GAUGAAGAACGUAGCAUAAUGCGAUAAGUAAUGUGAAUUGCAGAAUUCAGUGAAUCAUCGAAUCUUUGAACGCACAUUGCGCCCGCUGGUAUUCCGGCGGGCAUGCCUGUUCGAGCGUCAUUUCAACCCUCAAGCCCCCGGGUUUGGUGUUGGGGAUCGGCUCUGCCCUUCUGGGCGGUGCCGCCCCCGAAAUACAUUGGCGGUCUCGCUGCAGCCUCCAUUGCGUAGUAGCUAACACCUCGCAACUGGAACGCGGCGCGGCCAUGCCGUAAAACCCCAACUUCUGAAUGUUGACCUCGGAUCAGGUAGGAAUACCCGCUGAACUUAAGCAUAUCAAUAAGCGGAGGA
rnacentral:misc_RNA from 1 species